CAUCUAUAGAAAACCCACGUAUACACCAGUCAUUAUACCGGCCUGGUCUAAUGAUUAUAUGCCCUAUAAACUUGCAGCCUUUAGGUCGAUGUUCAUAAGAAUACAUACCCAUAUAACCAGGUGGACGGAUCAACGUACAGAACUUUUAUAUGUUUUUCGCCUAGGCUGUAAAUAUGGUUAUAGUAGGAAAACCCUGGAAGGUAUUUGGGAGAGCAUACAGAAACACAUGGCGAUGCCACACAGACAUAACCCGUUGGCCCAGCAAAGCCAACAAACACCUAUUGUUUCAACGGUUACAUAUCAUAAAACCAC
rnacentral:lncRNA from 1 species